GAUGAACGCUAGCUACAGGCUUAACACAUGCAAGUCGCGGGGCAGCAUGUUGGUUGCUUGCAACCGAUGAUGGCGGCCGGCGCACGGGUGAGUAACGCGUAUCCAACCUACCUAUUACCACGGGAUAACCCGGCGAAAGUCGGACUGAUACCGUAUGUUGUCCUCCAAUGGCAUCAGCAGUGGACUAAAGGUUUGGCGGUAAUAGAUGGGGAUGCGUCCGAUUAGCUAGUUGGUGAGGUAAUGGCUCCCCAAGGCUUCGAUCGGUAGGGGUUCUGAGAGGAAGGUCCCCCACACUGGAACUGAGACACGGUCCAGACUCCUACGGGAGGCAGCAGUGAGGAAUAUUGGUCAAUGGACGAGAGUCUGAACCAGCCAAGUAGCGUGCAGGAUGACUGCCCUAUGGGUUGUAAACUGCUUUUAUGCGGGGAUAAAGUGGGGAACGUGUUCUCUAUUGCAGGACCGCAUGAAUAAGACCGCAU
rnacentral:rRNA from 1 species